rnacentral:rRNA from 1 species
UGAACGCUAGCUACAGGCUUAACACAUGCAAGUCGAGGGGAAACGAUAUUGGAAGCUUGCUUCUGAUAGGCGUCGACCGGCGCACGGGUGAGUAACGCGUAUCCAACCUGCCCAUCACUUGGGGAUAACCUUGCGAAAGUAAGACUAAUACCCAAUGACGUCUCUAGAAGACAUCUGAAAGAGAUUAAAGAUUUAUCGGUGAUGGAUGGGGAUGCGUCUGAUUAGCUUGUUGGCGGGGUAACGGCCCACCAAGGCGACGAUCAGUAGGGGUUCUGAGAGGAAGGUCCCCCACAUUGGAACUGAGACACGGUCCAAACUCCUACGGGAGGCAGCAGUGAGGAAUAUUGGUCAAUGGACGAGAGUCUGAACCAGCCAAGUAGCGUGCAGGAUGACGGCCCUAUGGGUUGUAAACUGCUUUUAUAAGGGAAUAAAGUGAGUCUCGUGAGACUUUUUGCAUGUACCGUAUGAAUAAGGAUCGGCUAACUCCGUG